rnacentral:rRNA from 1 species
UACGUAGGGUGCGAGCGUUGUCCGGAAUUAUUGGGCGUAAAGGGCUCGUAGGCGGUUUGUUGCGUCGGAAGUAAAAACUCAGGGCUUAACCCUGAGCCUGCUUCCGAUACGGGCAGACUAGAGGUAUGCAGGGGAGAACGGAAUUCCUGGUGUAGCGGUGAAAUGCGCAGAUAUCAGGAGGAACACCGGUGGCGAAGGCGGGUCUCUGGGCCGAUACUGACGCUGAGGAGCGAAAGCGUGGGGAGCGAACAGG